rnacentral:lncRNA from 1 species
AAAAGAGACAAAAGGUGAGUUUCCAUGCCUUGGGAAAAGAGGAACUUCAAGGGACCUGACCAAGCAAACCGUCAACAGUGUAGGGCCAACCCAGAGCCCAGGAUCCUGUGAACCUACAACUUUCUCCUUCUUCACAGACUGCUGAAAUCAGUAUUGGAAGCGGAUUCUGCUGAGACCUUGGCGGCAAGUGCUCUACCACUGAAUGUACCCUCAGCGCCAUACAAGGAAGGGAGAAAGCCUACACCAUGGCAGACUAAUAUGGCUGCACUGGGCUAGGACGUGGCAGUCAACGACAAUGCCAACAUUGUGUUGUGGUAAUGGCUACACAUCUCCGAGUAUCCCCCAUUCCUAUCAAUUCCCCGGGGAGAAAAUCAACUCCUCUUCCUCCUCCUCCUCCCCAUCCCCCCCCCCCCCCCCCCCCGUCCCAGUGUUGGUCUGAGAGUCUAGUGAUCCCGUGACUUAGGCUGGCUCUCAGGGGACGUUAGUUUGGCUUCACUUUUUACUGUUAGUCAUUAUUGGGUGUUCACUUCAGGACUCCUGGAAGAGUCCUCAUGUUAAACUUCCUAGGCUGUAUCUGGCCUUAGCUCCCUGUUUUGCUGUCAGGCCGCAGCUGGCUGGGGAAGGCUUGUUUGUUAUGGUUCGCCUGGGUUCCAAGUCUCCAGUGAUCAGCAGUCCUUUUAAAAAACAUCAUUUAUUGUUACUUUUGAGAGUUUCAUACAUGAGCACUGUAUUUAUGUACUUUCCACCCCAAACUCUUCCCUUCAGCUCCUCCCACAUCCCCACAUUCCCCUCAAUUUCAUGACCUCCUUUUUUAUCAUUAUUAUUACAUAUAGGUAUCAUAUGUAAAGUUUUACUUAUUUGUUUUAUGUAUAUACAUACUGUAGCUGUUCAGACACACACCAGAAGAGAGCACCAGAUCCUGUUACAGAUGGUUGUGAGCCACCAUGUGGCUGCUGAGAAUUGAACUCAGGACCUCUGGAAGAGCAUUUAGUGCUCUUAACCACUGAGCCAUCUCUCCAGCCCUGGUAUCAUAUGUAAAGACAGCCUGCUGAGUCCACUUAGAAUUUAAGCUACAAACAGUUCUCCCAGUACUAUGAGGCAGGAGGAGGGGAUAGUUUCCCUCUAGAGUCAGGCAUAAGACUCUGGAUGGUCCGAGGCCAGGGAUACCACCUGCCCAUUCUGCCCAGAGAACAGAGGCCAGAAGGAUGGCAGACCAAGCCAGGUUGUAGAAAAGUUCCAGACACUUCACCCUGGGGACACUUCACCCUGGGGACACUUCACCCUGGGGACACUUCACCCUGGGGACACUUCACCCUGGGAGACUAAGAGUAGACCAUAGCUGGAGCUGAGGCUCUGCAUACUGAGUAACAUCAGAGGAUGCAUGGGUUCCGGGAGAGCCUGGACACACAGAUGAAGGGCAGCUUGAAGCUCUGUCCUUGUCAGAGGUGGCUUCUCUGCAUUCAGCCCACCCCAGGCUGUAGGAGUCAGAGAGGCCCAACUCUGCUUAGCAAAGAGGCCAGUGUGGACCCUCUGGAAACUGCACAAGGAAAGGGCAGUUCUGGGGAUGAGGAAGAGAGGCCCUAAAGACAGAGCCUGAAAGGACCAGGCCCCACUGGGAAGGUUUGGGCCGUCUGUAAGGGCAAGAGGAGAUCAGCCUCUAGCAGCACAGGACAGGAGGAAAGUGCAUGGAGGGACUCAUGACUCCAGUACCCAAGGAUCAAAUGGGAGAAUCAUGGAGAAUCAUGGAGGAACCAGAUUCUGUGGCUAGCAGGUGUCAUCGAUGACCCAUGUCUCUGUCUACCUGGAGUCUCCACUGCCAUCUUAGAUGGGUCAGUAUUCUGCCCUUCCAGCUCCUAGAUGCUCAUCAGGAAUUCAGACCAUGCAGGCAGACCCUGACUUACCCUUCUCCAGAGUACUGCAAUUCCUUUGCCUGGACAGGCUGUGCUCAUGGGAGAAAAUUCUCACCUGGUAAGACAGUGGUUCUCAACCUACCCAAUGCCAUGGCCCUUUAAUACCUCAUGUUGUGGUGACUCCCACCAUAAAGCUAUUUUUUUUCUUAUUUCAUAUGGUCAUUAUUUCCUUCUUUUAUUAAUCAAGAUAAGACAUAAUGAAAAAUAUGUCUUAUUGUAUAUAGGGUAGUAUUCCUUGAAAACAAAUGUAGUUUGUAUCAAGAAAAUGAUGCUUUGAAAAAUUAGUCUAGAUUUUUAAAUAUAAUUUUUUCCAAAUGAAAAUUAAGAAAGCCAUGUAUGAUAAUCCAUACUUGUGUAUAUUCUACCUUGUUGCGAGCCGUCCAGCGGCUCACAUGGAUGGGGUACACUUGAGUGGCAGGCCGAUGCUGAAAAAAAGGGAAACUAGGUGAACGAGAGAGAAAUGGAGCCAAGACAAUAUUCUGAUCAAGGCUCAAAUGUUUAAUGGCGAAUGCACUUAUAAAAAGGGGGGGGGGAAGGAGGUCCAUUCCCACCAAUUCAUCCUUGGAGCCUGGAACCAGCUGCAGGUGAUGACGUGCAGGAUAGGGCAUAGUCUCCUGAAUAGCUUGGGGGGGGGGCUCUCAGCAGGUAGCAAUAUCUUGAAGAGGAACAGCAGCAGUGGCUGAACAAUAGAGUGAUCUAGGGAGGAAGGCUCCACCCUAGGUAAUCUCCUUAGUGGCAGCAAGGUCAA